rnacentral:rRNA from 1 species
UGGGGAAUAUUGGACAAUGGGCGAAAGCCUGAUCCAGCCAUGCCGCGUGUGUGAAGAAGGUCUUCGGAUUGUAAAGCACUUUAAGUUGGGAAGAAGGGCAUUAACCUAAUACGUUAGUGUUUUGACGUUACCGACAGAAUAAGCACCGGCUAACUCUGUGCCAGCAGCCGCGGUAAUACAGAGGGUGCAAGCGUUAAUCGGAAUUACUGGGCGUAAAGCGCGCGUAGGUGGUUUGUUAAGUUGGAUGUGAAAUCCCCGGGCUCAACCUGGGAACUGCAUUCAAAACUGACUGACUAGAGUAUGGUAGAGGGUGGUGGAAUUUCCUGUGUAGCGGUGAAAUGCGUAGAUAUAGGAAGGAACACCAGUGGCGAAGGCGACCACCUGGACUAAUACUGACACUGAGGUGCGAAAGCGUGGGGAGCAAACA